CCUGUACUUGGUGUUACUGCGAAGUGGGGACGGAGAAGGCUAUGUUAGCCGGGCGACGGUUGUCCCGGUUUAAGCAUGUAGGCGGAGGUUCCAGGUAAAUCCGGUACCUUUUAACGCUGAGGUGUGAUGACGAGGCACUACGGUGCUGAAGUAACAAAUGCCCUGCUUCCAGGAAAAGCCUCUAAGCAUCAGGUAACAUUAAAUCGUACCCCAAACCGACACAGGUGGUCAGGUAGAGAAUACCAAGGCGCUUGAGAGAACUCGGGUGAAGGAACUAGGCAAAAUGGUGCCGUAACUUCGGGAGAAGGCACGCUGGUGUGUAGGUGAAGUCCCUGCGGACGGAGCUGAGACCAGUCGAAGAUACCAGCUGGCUGCAACUGUUUAUUAAAAACACAGCACUGUGCAAACACGAAAGUGGACGUAUACGGUGUGACGCCUGCCCGGUGCCGGAAGGUUAAUUGAUGGGGUUAUCCGUAAGGAGAAGCUCUUGAUCGAAGCCCCGGUAAACGGCGGCCGUAACUAUAACGGUCCUAAGGUAGCGAAAUUCCUUGUCGGGUAAGUUCCGACCUGCACGAAUGGCAUAAUGAUGGCCAGGCUGUCUCCACCCGAGACUCAGUGAAAUUGAACUCGCUGUGAAGAUGCAGUGUACCCGCGGCAAGACGGAAAGACCCCGUGAACCUUUACUAUAGCUUGACACUGAACAUUGAGCCUUGAUGUGUAGGAUAGGUGGGAGGCUUUGAAGCGUGGACGCCAGUCUGCGUGGAGCCAACCUUGAAAUACCACCCUUUAAUGUUUGAUGUUCUAACGUAGGCCCCUUAUCGGGGUUGCGGACAGUGUCUGGUGGGUAGUUUGACUGGGGCGGUCUCCUCCCAAAGAGUAACGGAGGAGCACGAAGGUUAGCUAAUCCUGGUCGGACAUCAGGAGGUUAGUGCAAUGGCAUAAGCUAGCUUGACUGCGAGCGUGACGGCGCGAGCAGGUGCGAAAGCAGGUCAUAGUGAUCCGGUGGUUCUGAAUGGAAGGGCCAUCGCUCAACGGAUAAAAGGUACUCCGGGGAUAACAGGCUGAUACCGCCCAAGAGUUCAUAUCGACGGCGGUGUUUGGCACCUCGAUGUCGGCUCAUCACAUCCUGGGGCUGAAGUAGGUCCCAAGGGUAUGGCUGUUCGCCAUUUAAAGUGGUACGCGAGCUGGGUUUAGAACGUCGUGAGACAGUUCGGUCCCUAUCUGCCGUGGGCGCUGGAGAAUUGAGGGGGGCUGCUCCUAGUACGAGAGGACCGGAGUGGACGCAUCACUGGUGUUCGGGUUGUCAUGCCAAUGGCACUGCCCGGUAGCUAAAUGCGGAAGAGAUAAGUGCUGAAAGCAUCUAAGCACGAAACUUGCCCCGAGAUGAGUUCUCCCUGAGACUUUAAGUCUCCUGAAGGAACGUUGAAGACGACGACGUUGAUAGGCCGGGUGUGUAAGCGCAGCGAUGCGUUGAGCUAACCGGUACUAAUGAACCGUGAGGCUUAACCUU
rnacentral:rRNA from 1 species